rnacentral:rRNA from 1 species
AUUGAACGCUGGCGGCAGGCCUAACACAUGCAAGUCGUACGGUAGCACAGAGGAGCUUGCUCCUUGGGUGACGAGUGGCGGACGGGUGAGUAAUGUCUGGGAAACUGCCCGAUGGAGGGGGAUAACUGCUGGAAACGGUAGCUAAUACCGCAUAACGUCUUCGGGCCAAAGUGGGGGACCUUCGGGCCUCACACCAUCGGAUGUGCCCAGAUGGGAUUAGCUAGUAGGUGGGGUAAUGGCUCACCUAGGCGACGAUCCCUAGCUGGUCUGAGAGGAUGACCAGCCCCACUGGAACUGCGACCCGGUCCAGACUCCUACGGGAGGCAGCAGUGGGGAAUAUUGCACAAUGGGCGCAAGCCUGAUGCAGCCAUGCCGCGUGUAUGAAGAAGGCCUUCGGGUUGUAAAGUACUUUCAGCGGGGAGGAAGGCGUUAAGGUUAAUAACCUUGGCGAUUGACGUUACCCGCAGAAGAAGCACCGGCUAACUCCGUGCCAGCCGCCGCCGUAAUAC